UUGCUCUUACCAUCAACUCUUCCACAGCUUUGGCAAACAUAUGGUUGUCAUAUCUUUCUGAUUUGUUUUGCUUGUCAUGAAAUAGUUCGUUGCUGGUGCGAGGUGAAUCGGAAUCAACAUAUGAGCACGAGACCAUGCUGCACGCAUCCCCCAAGGCCAAUCUAGAAGUGGAGUAAGCCACAUUCUCAUACUCUGAGUUAGCAUCAGAAAAAAG
rnacentral:misc_RNA from 1 species